AUACGUAUGUCGCAAGCGUUAUCCGGAAUUAUUGGGCGUAAAGCGAGUCUAGGCGGCUUGUUAAGUCAGAUGUGAAAAUGCGGGGCUCAACUCCGUAUUGCGUUUGAAACUGGCAGGCUAGAGUACUGGAGAGGUGGGCGGAACUACAAGUGUAGAGGUGAAAUUCGUAGAUAUUUGUAGGAAUGCCGAUAGUGAAGACAGCUCACUGGACAGAUACUGACGCUAAAGCUCGAAAGCGUGGGGAGCGAACAGGAUUAGAUACCCGAGUAGUCC
rnacentral:rRNA from 1 species